GACGAACGCUGGCGGCGUGCCUAAUACAUGCAAGUAGAACGCACAGUUUAUACCGUAGCUUGCUACACCAUAGACUGUGAGUUGCGAACGGGUGAGUAACGCGUAGGUAACCUGCCUGGUAGCGGGGGAUAACUAUUGGAAACGAUAGCUAAUACCGCAUAAUAUUGAUUAUUGCAGGAUAAUUGAUUGAAAGAUGCUAUUGCAUCACUACCAGAUGGACCUGCGUUGUAUUAGCUAGUAGGUGAGGUAACGGCUCACCUAGGCGACGAUACAUAGCCGACCUGAGAGGGUGAUCGGCCACACUGGGACUGAGACACGGCCCAGACUCCUACGGGAGGCAGCAGUAGGGAAUCUUCGGCAAUGGACGAAAGUCUGACCGAGCAACGCCGCGUGAGUGAAGAAGGUUUUCGGAUCGUAAAGCUCUGUUGUAAGAGAAGAACGGGUGUGAGAGUGGAAGGUUCACACUGUGACGGUAUCUUACCAGAAAGGGACGGCUAACUACGUG
rnacentral:rRNA from 1 species